UACGGAGGGCCCAAGCGUUGUUCGGAUUCACUGGGCGUAAAGAGCGCGUAGGCGGUCGGGCAAGUCUGAUGUGAAAUCUCACAGCUUAACUGUGAAACUGCAUUGGAUACUAUCCGGCUCGAGGAAUGGAGGGGAGACUGGAAUACUUGGUGUAGCAGUGAAAUGCGUAGAUAUCAAGUGGAACACCAGUGGCGAAGGCGAGUCUCUGGACAUUUCCUGACGCUGAGGCACGAAAGCGAGGGGAGCAAACGGG
rnacentral:rRNA from 1 species